rnacentral:rRNA from 1 species
ACGAACGCUGGCGGCGUGCCUCAUCCAUGCAAGUAGAACGCUGAAGGAGGAGCUUGCUCUUCUGGAUGAGUUGCGAACGGGUGAGUAACGCGUAGGUAACCUGCCUGGUAGCGGGGGAUAACUAUUGGAAACGAUAGCUAAUACCGCAUAAGAGUAGAUGUUGCAUGACAUUUGCUUAAAAGGUGCAAUUGCAUCACUACCAGAUGGACCUGCGUUGUAUUAGCUAGUUGGUGGGGUAACGGCUCACCAAGGCGACGAUACAUAGCCGACCUGAGAGGGUGAUCGGCCACACUGGGACUGAGACACGGCCCAGACUCCUACGGGAGGCAGCAGUAGGGAAUCUUCGGCAAUGGACGGAAGUCUGACCGAGCAACGCCGCGUGAGUGAAGAAGGUUUUCGGAUCGUAAAGCUCUGUUGUAAGAGAAGAACGAGUGUGAGAGUGGAAAGUUCACACUGUGACGGUAUCUUACCAGAAAGGGACGGCUAACUACGUG